rnacentral:rRNA from 1 species
CCUACGGGAGGCUGUAGUGGGGAAUAUUGCGCAAUGGGCGAAAGCCUGACGCAGCGACGCAGCGUGAGGGAUGAAGGUCUUCGGAUCGUAAACCUCUGUUAGCAGGGAAGAACGGUAACUGUGCUAAUCAGCAGUGAAUUGAAGGUACCUGAAAAGGAAGCACCGGCUAACUCCGUGCCAGCAGCCGCGGUAAUACGGAGGGGGCGAGCGUUAAUCGGAAUUACGGGGCGUAAAGCGCUCGUAGGCGGUAUGUCAAGUCAAGGGUGAAAUCCCCGGGCUCAACGUGAGAACUGCCUUUGAAACUGGCAGACUUGAGGGUAUGAGAGGUUAGUGGAAUUCCAGGUGUAGGAGUGAAAUCCGUAGAUAUCUGGAAGAACAUCAGUGGCGAAGGCGGCUAUCUGGCACAUAACUGACGCUGAGGAGCGAAAGCGUGGGUAGCAAACAGGAUUAGAUACCCUUGUAGUC